AGGGAUUCCAAUUCCUUCCUCACAUCCACAUGGCGAGGAUGUGUUUCGCAGUGGGCUAUAAAUAAGUGUUUUUGGAGAGAGAUAAGGGUCCAGGACGGCAGCAAGUUAGACAAGUUUAAUUGUUUCUUGUUUUCAUCUCAAGUGUUAAGGGAGAAGAAUUAAUGGCAUCCCUUAAGGCUGAGAAAACUGUUGGCACUCAAGCACCUGCGCAGGUCAAGAAGGAGGCUGCACCUAAACCCACUGCCCCUAAGGCAACACCUAAGAAGGCUGCCGCCAAACCUCAGGAAUCUAAGAAGGGGGGAAAAGCUGGCAAAUCAGGAGCGAAGCACUGACAGAAUCAAGGAAUACAUGUAUAAUGUAGCUUGACAUGUGGAGCAUCUAUAUGUGAAGCCAUAAAUUAAUUAGUUAUAUUUCAAUGUAAUUUUAAUUAACAUCAGUGUGUGACCUCUGGGUAUGUGCAGUGGCCUCAUCGAUGCACUCACCAACUUCUUGUCAGAUAUAGGGUUGGCCUAAUAUUGAAAUAAACAAUAUGUUACGCUA